ACCUCGGGGAACAUGUUUCGGGGCAGUUUGAACAUCUUUAUAGCCCAGCCUGCCCAUUGCAUUGUAAAAGGAUCGAAGAGUCCGGUGGCGGAGGCGCUGGAUGCGUCGGUUACAUGUUUACCUGAAUUACAUUUUAUAUUGAGAAGCCAGCAAUCUACUCCUCCGAAGAUCGCUCUGCCUUCCGCCGCAGCUUCCUUCAGACCAGGCACAUUGUGCAACGCCCAAGUCAAUCGCAACGUCGUCUGAAAGAUAAAAUAAUCGAUGGUCUUGCGAAACAUUACCUAUGGGCAUGUAUGAGGGAAAGUAGCUUAAAUGGAUCCCCGCAGGCCAGACGAUAGUUCUCAAUUGUACCACAUUUGCUCGAAGAAUACAGCGUUCUUUAAAAGCUUAAGAAUCUACCCGCGCACUGUUCAAGAAUAAGGCAAAGGAUACAGUGCAGAUUAUCAAACUUUCGUGAAGGAUGAAGGGAACUGGAUAACGUCGCAGCGUGUGUUAAGCACUGCCGAGGAUGCAGGCAUUGAGCUUGACAUUCGACCCUUUUAGAUUUUGGGAAACUGCCAUCGAAUCAAGAUCGACUAGCCUUAAUGUUAAUUAUUGCCACGAUGCACAGACGAGUGGCUGCCGGCCAGUUUUGUGAUGCCAGUUCGCACCAGUAAGCGAGUAACGCCCGAUGGUAACACACCUGUGUGUUUUGCGGGUCUGCAUUGGACAACCAAUUUUCGAAAUUAUACCCUAACACUUCGUGGUGGAUAUAGUGAUCAAAAUUUGUUAGUU